UCUUAGUGAACAUGCCGAAUCUGACCAAUCCUUGCCCACUUAGGGGGUACCCUAUUUAAAGCUUUAUAACUCCAGAUGUGAACACCACAGAGACUUGAAAAAAGGCUUAAAUGAAGCAAGACAUUUGUACCAUUUACAAUACUAACUUAGAUCAGUUUAUAUUCAUAAUUUUGGAAGAAAUAAAGUGCCACAAAUGCUAUUGUCUAGGCAAAAAAUCAAAAUGAAUUUGCUCUUUCGUUUGCAAUGAAAUACUGAGAGAUUGGUAUAUUUACCGCAGAUUAAACUAUACAUGUCCUGGAUCAAAAACUCAUUGACCACAAGUUCAUAAAAUCUAAGUAGAUUAUAUGUAGAACUACUAAAGAUUUAUAAAGCAAAAACUAAGCAGUGUACCCAGCGCCUCCAAAUCUAUCAAAAAUGUCUAAAUUAUGCAUUGGUGUAAAUCACAACAUAUUCAAGUAUUUCACUACAAAUCAACUGUUUUGACUCAAGAAACUUGCUGCUACAUCAUUUAAGUGCAGUGGUCUAAAAUAUCUACGGGUCCAGAAACAUAUCUAAAAUCUCUCAAUUAAUAAAAUGCUUUUUGUCCAUUAUAAAGCAUAUAAAUGGGACUCUUACGAAGGUUUAAGAUGAAACAUUGAUAUCAGAUUAAAAGAUAAUGCAAAAACAUUGUCUCACAAUGCGGUACAGUACCUAAAUGUGUAAUAAUUAACUCUCGUAUGCAUUUCCGUACACUACAGUAUGUAAUGUUUUCUUGUACUUCACACCUUUCUUGGUGCCCGAUGUUCUGCAUGCUCUGCAGACCACUGAUCCUAAGAAGGCAGCUAGGCCAGAUGGCCUUGGCCCAUUUUUAUUGAAACCGAUAGCAGAGGUUAUAGCCAAACCAGUCACUUACAUUUUCAACCUUCCAGUCUAUACAAAUAAAGUUCCAGUUUCAUGGAAACAAGCUUAUGUUACACCACUAUUGAUAGCUGGUGAUUCAUGUGAACAACUAUACACCUAUCUCAAACCUUUCUGCAUUAGCGAAGGUUUUGGAGUAUUUAGUGUCUGAUCAAUUUAAAAUGGUCCUGGACUCACACAACAUACUAAAUGGCAUGCAAUCUGGUUUUAGAUCCAGGAACAGUACAGUGACUGCAACUUUGAAAGUCAUUGAUGACUUAAAAGCAGCCAUUGAUAAGAAAUCAUUCUGUGUGGCCAUGUUUAUAGACCUUACUAAGGCCUUUGACACAGUAUACCAUCCCAUGCUAAUAAACACCUUGUUGAAGGCUGGUACUGGUUACAAAGCUGCAAAUUGGUUUCAGAGCUAUCUUUGUGAUCGGAUGCAAUUUGUCAGACAUGGGAAUGUUACAUCUGACCCUGUUGUUCUUAGAAAGGGUGUUCCCCAAGGAUCUAUUUUAGGUCGUCUGCUCUUUAUCAUCUAUAUUAACAAUAUCUGCAGUCAGACUGAACACUCACAGUACCAUUUCAUAUUCUUGUGCCCCUUCUCCUGAGACUGCUUGUGCAAACUUGCAGUUGGAUUUCGCUUCACUGCAGCAUGCCCUUAUUGACUUGAAGCUGCUUUUAAAUGCAUAUAAGACUAAGGCAAAGAUAUUUGCUCCUAGCAGCGUCAAGGUUCCAGCUCUCUCUAUUAACACCCUUGAAGGUGUAGCUAUUGAGAUUGUUGAUACUUAUAAAUAUCUUGGUAUUUGGUUGGACAAAAGCUUUAAUUUUAAAAAGCACAUUGAAACUCAUGCUAGGAAACUUAAGUUCACAUUGGGCUUUUUAUACAGGUUAAAGUCAUGUUUUCCUAUGUCUUCACGUAAACGGCUGGUUGCAGGUUUAUUCCUACCUCAGCUAGAUUACGGUGACAUCAUUUACCACUUUGCUCAAACUCGACCCUCUUUAUCAUGCUGCCCUCAGAUAUACUACAAAUGCAGGCUUUAAGACACAUCAUUGUACCUUAUAUAACUUAGUAAAUUGGACAUCCCUUGGUAUACGUAGGAUACAACCUAUUUUUUACAGUCUCUGGAUGCAGGACUGGCAUAUAUUCAUCUACCAGGCCAUUCUUGGAGAGUUACCUAUAGCCUAUAUAUACGUUCAAAGUUUUUACCCACACAAAGUACACAUAAUUUAAGAUCUAAUAUUGGACUGCAUUUCAAGGUACCAAAUGUGCAGACAGAAGCCAGCAAGAGGAGUCUGUUCUAUUAUGGCCCCCGGUCUUGGAAUGAGCUGUAGGUUAAGCUCAAGCUUGGCACACUAAUUUCCUGGGCUGUCUAUAAAAAAGAUCUCAGAAAUCUUAACUGUUAAAUGCACCUAUUUUAAUAUUUAAUUCGUCAUGUCAUGCUGGUUACAUGUAUGUCAUUCUGUUUGUGUAUGUAUCUUUGUAUGACCCCUAAGCGUUGUGUCUGUUUUGUACUGUAUUGUAUUUUAUUUUAAUGUGCUGUUCUCCUUGUAAUAUCUUUUAACUGAGCUGCCCACUUGGCCUGGUCUCCCUUGUAAAAGAGAUUCUGUCUCAAUGGGACUCUCCUGGUAAAAUAAAGGUUAAAUAAAUUAGAUUGUAUGAGCAUGGGAGGACAUGAAAACAAUUUUCAACCGUCCACCACUUUUGGCAAUGUUCCAACACUCACGUCAUCACUGUUGCAUGCAUCACAAAAACUACAAAGCUACCAAUGAACACUUACAUUACAGUGUGAAAUAUCUUCAGUAUAAAACACCUAUUUAAAGACACUCAAUUUAAAAAAUAAAGCAUAUAACCAAAAUAUUUAGAGCAGUAAUACUUACAUAUCAAUGAUGAAAUCUCAUCUAUGUUCAGUAGAUGGAGACAGAGACAGUAUCAAUAAUACUGUUCUAUUCGCUUCUGUUUUGAUCCAGGAAACGAUGUCAGCUAGGUCUAUCAGCAAACAUAUGGCUUAGCUAUGCCCAGAAGUCCUCAAUAAUAGUAUUUUCCAAGAAAUUACGAAAAAUCAUUGACAACGUUUCGUUAGGUGCAGUGUCUUUUACUGCUUUUACUGCCGUCCACAAACUACAGGAUACCUUAAAACGUCAUGAAAUGACAGCUAUCCAUAAAGCGGCAGAAGAAAAGGAGAAAUACAUUAGAGAAGGUAGCACUUUCACAAAAGCUUUACUCUAUAAGUUACAAAAAAACUAAUAUAAAAUAGUUGUUUUAAAAAUAAUUACUUUGUUGUGUCUUUAGGGAGAACACUACAGCGUGCCAUAGCUGCACAAGCGGGCUCUUGAAGGCUGCUUCAAAAUAAUAUAUGAAUGCCUCAAGUAAAAGUGGCCCCACCACACCAGCUAUGAGCCCAUUAUUUGCUUAUGCAAGCAAUUGGGCUGUGCUUAUUUUGAUGGUUUGAAUGUAAAUUCUGCAACCAUUUAAUUACAAGAUUGUAAAUUGAACAUCUCCACAUAAUUACUGCCAAGUAGGCCAACCUAAUUACUUUUCUGCCCCUAGGUCAGUGCCAACACCAAACAUACAAGCAGCCACUUCAUUGAUGAAAUGGUGGAGACCAUUGGCCAGAUUUUGGAUGACCAGCUGGUAGCAGAGUUGUCAAAAUCCCCAGUGUGGGGAUUAAUGGUUGAUGAGACCACUGACAUCUCUGUCACCAAGCAACUGGGUCUUAUUGUGAGGUGAGACUACGUUCUACAAUUAAAUAAAAUUGAUGUGUAUAUUCUGAUUAAAAUUACUUCGACUGAACAUAGAUUUUUUAAAAUAUAGUUUUCUGGGACCUGACAAAGUGGGCAGCACUGUAGUAAAAACCAAAGUGCUGCAUUCAGGUGAAGUGUCUGCUGGGGAUGCUGCAACUUUGUAUGGCACCAUACUGAGAGUCAUCAGAGAUGACAAGAUGCUACCAACCAACAAGCUGGCCUCUUUCACCAGUGACGGAGCCUCAGUAAUGACUGGAGAGUUGUCUCUUUUGCUUUUACCUUUGUAUUUGAUGAGACUGUCAUAGUGAUCAUUUUGAAUUCUUUUAGGGAGAAAAACUGGAGUUGGAAAGAGACUCAAGGACUCGUUCCCUGGCCUGAUAACCGUGCACUGUGCAGCACAUCUGGCUGUGUCAGACUGCAUUAAGGGGCAGAGGGGAGUACCAUACCUCAUCAAAUAUGCCAGGACUGUUAGAACAAUAUUCUGGUUCUACCAAGCCUCCAGCAACAGGACCAGCAGUCUUAAGGAAAUGGAGAGGCUUUUUGAACCCCCCCCCCCCCAAAUUAAACUGCAGGUUAGAAGUAUUCAGUGCUAGAUUACUCAGAUUUACUUUUGCUUUUUUGUCCUUUAUAAAGCUCAUCAAUUAAUUCUGUAGUGAGGAAACACUACCAGGUGGGAGUCAAAUAAGGAAGCAACAGAUGUGAUGCGCCGGAUCCUGCCUGCUCUCAUUGCAGACCUCUCGUCCAAGCCCGGAAUGAGCCAACAGCUCAAGGACUGUAUUUCUUUGUAAAGGAUCAGUUCUUUCCCCCUGCCCUGUGCCUAAUGCAACUUGUGCAUGAUAAGAUCCACCGGCACCUUUUCUUCUCCCAGGUGGAGCAGGAGGUAUGAGAUAAAUACCACAGUCCUUGGUUUUCCUGUUAAUUGAAUUAUAUUCCUAGUUGAGCCAUCAUGUUUGACCUCAGGUCACAGUGCUGAAGACAUCCCUGACACAGCUGAGAGAGAGCAGCAUAGUCAAGGACCGCUGGCAGGCAUGGCUCCAAUCAGAUGCUGGUCUGAAGCCAGACUGAAGAACACUAAGUGAUGGAGCCGUUUCUGACUGCACUGACUGAGAACAUUGAGAGCCGAUUCCCAAACACCAGCAGUUUGUCUGUCUUCAGUGUGUUCUCUCCCAGACAGAUUCUGACAAACUCUGCACAGUAUGGGGAUGCUGAGAUGAGGACACUGGCAGAGCAGUUCCCAAGACUUAAGGAGUCUGACCUGGUGUCUGAGUGGGACUCCUACAGGCUGAGAGUGAGAAGUCCUGAUCUGAAGAUACUAUAUAUCAGUUACAUUAACUGCACCACCACCACUACCACCACCACAGUCUAUUGGUUUUAAAUAAUAAUUUUAUCUUUGUUCUCACUUUGCUCUGUGGCUUGUAUCUCCAGAAUCCUCUGAGCUGUAUCCCACCCUGAGCCUUGCAGCUGCAAUCCCUGUCCAGACUGCAGAUGUGGAGAGGCUAUUUUCUGCACUCAAGAUUGUUAAGACACCCCUGCGCAACAGAUUAAAGGAGAGGCACUUGGAUGUGUGUUGCAAGGUAGCCAUCGAUGGACCAGACCAGGAGGCCUUGGACUACAAGGAGUGCAUGAAGAGGUUUUAUAAAAUGAAAAAUAGGAGGCUGAAAUGUUCUGUCUCUGGUUGUGAACUGUGUAGAUGAAAAAAUGGUUUUAAUGCAAUGUUCAAAUACCCUGUAACAGGGCCACAUUUUGCUGGUUGUGAAAUGUGUAAAUGAAAGCAAAGGCUUUUGUGUUAUAUUUAUGUUUAACUACACUGCAAGAGGACCCCUGUGAAUUGUAAAUGAAAACAAUAACUUGUUAUAUUUGAUUUGAUUCUAAACAACUUGUUUGUUAACUGUGUAAAUUAACACAUUAGCUUUUAUGUUGUAUUUAAUGUUGAACAGGGCACCUUUAUUUAUUUGAAUAAAAUAUGCUUUAACUUUAA